GACGAACGCUGGCGGCGUGCUUAACACAUGCAAGUCGAACGGUGAACGAGGGAGCUUGCUCCCUCCGGAUCAGUGGCGAACGGGUGAGUAACACGUGAGCAAUCUGCCCCGAACUCUGGGAUAAGCGUUGGAAACGACGUCUAAUACCGGAUACGACGCGGGAGGGCAUCCUCUCCGCGUGGAAAGAACUUCGGUUCGGGAUGAGCUCGCGGCCUAUCAGCUUGUUGGUGAGGUAACGGCUCACCAAGGCGACGACGGGUAGCCGGCCUGAGAGGGUGACCGGCCACACUGGGACUGAGACACGGCCCAGACUCCUACGGGAGGCAGCAGUGGGGAAUAUUGCACAAUGGGCGCAAGCCUGAUGCGGCAACGCCGCGUGAGGGACGACGGCCUUCGGGUUGUAAACCUCUUUUAGCAGGGAAGAAGCGAAAGUGACGGGACCUGCAGAAAAAGCACCGGCUAACUACGU
rnacentral:rRNA from 1 species